GGAAUAUUGGUCAAUGGACGCAAGUCUGAACCAGCCAUGCCGCGUGAAGGAUGACGGCCCUCUGGGUUGUAAACUGCUUUUAUCUGGGAAGAAAACGCCCCUGCGGGGGUAACUGACGGUACCAGAUGAAUAAGCACCGGCUAACUCCGUGCCAGCAGCCGCGGUAAUACGGAGGGUGCAAGCGUUGUCCGGAUUUAUUGGGUUUAAAGGGUGCGUAGGCGGCCCUGUAAGUCAGCGGUGAAAUCCCAGGGCUCAACCCUGGAACUGCCGUUGAUACUGCAGGGCUUGAGUUCGGUUAAGGCGGGCGGAACUGGUGGUGUAGCGGUGAAAUGCAUAGAUACCACCAAGAACCCCGAUUGCGUAGGCAGCUCGCUGAGCCGAAACUGACGCUGAGGCACGAAAGCGUGGGGAGCGAA
rnacentral:rRNA from 1 species